AGUCGCCGUGAUGGAGGGGCCAGGUUUACCAUCGUCAGUCAUCAGCUCAGGACUCAAAAAGACACAUCAGUCUAAACCGCUCCACGAUGUCAUCGUUGCAAAUGAGAACCUGUUCUCAACGGCCUACCUGGUUAAAUACAUUUUUUUUUUUAAAUCUCUAGCUGGAUACUUUUCAGCAAAUGCAGUGUGCUUAUUCUGGAAAUGUCUUUUAAUAUUACUUUUUUUGUUGUUUGCUAAAUUUUUCGCCACAGAUCAAGCAAUAAUGGUAAGCCAGCAGCAUUGGCGGUGAAAGCAAAUUAAUUUGUCCCGCACUUUAAAUUCUCAAUUUUCCUCCGAGACUUUAUAUGGGCCGCUAUUCUUUAUGCCGUAGCCUACAUAGGCUAUGAUGAACAUUUUAGUUGACUGAAAUGUCAUGUAGCCUGAAUGGAGAGUGUAAGAAUUACUUUAGGCCUUCAAAAAUAAUAAAAUCAUCUCCAUAUAAUUUUU